UCCGAAUUGGUGUAGUGGCUAACAUUUGACGCUCUCAUCCCUUCCCACCGGGGUGCCGUCAAGCCCGGGGUUCGAUUCCCCGAUUCGGAG